CGGUUUUGCAUUUGUUAAGUUAGUGGUUGGUUUUUGCCGUCUCUGGUAGCAGCAGCCAUCUCCUGCUCUGAGAUGCUUUAUUUGCUGCCACCUUCACUGGUUUCUGGUAAGGCUUUUGGUCUCCAUAGGCUUGGGAAUCCCAGGAGAGAACUUCUGAUUAGAGGAUCAUGUUUGAAUGAAUUAUGUGGGGCUGUAUGUGCACAAGAGAAUAACUGGUUCCGUUGACCCCACAUAGGUGCCACUCAGGAAGUGGAAAAACCUGGUGGGAUAAAGGUCAGAAUAACCCCCCCAGCCCCCGCUGCUGGGUUGCUGAGGAUCCCAUUUCCAGCAGGGCCUUCUCUAUCCUUCUCUGAGUCUGAAGAGGGCGCUCAUGUCACUGGAAUGUUCAUGUCACUGGAAUCCCACUUAUUGGCUUAGGGCAGGCAGAGGAGCAGGAGCUCUGAGAGAUCUCUCCGAUCUUCUCAGGACUUGAAGACCAGUGGAUCUGCUCUUUGAUCUCAGGCUGGAAUUUUGGGCAGGGCGUCCGUGUUUCUCCAAGGAUGUUACUUGGAUGAGCUCUUUACUUCAGCUUGCAUGUUUAUGGACUCUCAUGCCCUUGUGUACGGGGAAGGUGGGCUACAGCUCAAGUUAAAGUCUCUUUGGGAGACUGGUUCAUUUUUUUGUCCUUGUUAUGUAGAGAGCUUGAACUUGGUGUUCCCCAGGUCCCGCCCUGCUGCCUCUGGCGCCUGCCUUCUGUUUCACUGCCCCGUUUUCUGAGUGCCUGGUGUGCAGCCUGUCCUUCAGCCCUCCUUGAAACUUCACGGACCCCAGCCAGUGUUCUCACAGCUCCUUCUCAGUUAUCCGUUAGCCCUUAUUACACUGCAUUGUAGUUAACCUGAGUCUGAUGCUUCUUGGUAAGAAAUAAAUUAAUCUACUUUUCCACCAGUAAUUGUUGGAGACUUAGACUUGCUCUUAAAGGAAAAGUAAGAGAGUGAUUCAAAGAAAGGAAUCACUUCAGUGAACAUGCAGACUCAUUAGUGGGAGGGGAUAGAUUCUUUAGGGCAAGAGGGCCCACCCUUGGCUCUGCCAGCAUUUCCCCAGGGCUGUGUUUUGGUGUUCGUUUUUUCCCCAUGAUAUUGACUUUCUUCAUUAUGUUACCAGGAAGCAGAUUCCAGCCAUUUUUGGACAUUUUUGAUCAGGGGCCUGCAAACUACACCCCAUGGGCCAAAUCCAGCCCAGCGCCCAUUUUUGUUUUACGAAGUUUUAUUGGCACAAGCCACGCCCACAUAUUGUCUGUGGCUGUUUUGUGCUACCAUGACUGAGUUGAGUAGUUUUGACGGAGACUGUGUAUCUACAAAGUCUAAAAUAUUUACUACCUGGCCCUUUGUUAAAAGUUUCCCAACCUCUGUUUUAGGUGAUAAAUUGCCCUGUCAGCCCACAGGUCCAACUGUGCUGCUGUUUGACAGUUCUCAGUUAUGUGGUGAGCGUCUGACGUGAAGCAGUUUGUUUAAAGAGGGAGUGUGUGCAUAAAGGGCUUGAAAGGCCUGGGUCUCUCACUUACCAGCUGAGAAACCUUGGGCAGAUAUUGAGGUACUUUGAGACCUUUCCUUCAUUUAUAAAACAGGCACUGAAAACAAUGCCUACCUCACAGGUUGGCUUUCUUUUUUUUUCCUUUUCCUUUUUCUCUUACUGCUUGUGAAAGCACUCUGUGGACAUCAGAACAGGCCCUCCAUUUGACUGUGGACACUAUUGUUGCUGUUUUCUUUCUCAGGAGGAGGAAGCCAAGAAACUGGUGAGUGAAGCCAUAGCAGCUGGCAUCUUCAAUGACCUGGGGUCUGGAAGUAACAUUGAUCUCUGUGUCAUCAGCAAGAGCAAGCUGGAUUUUCUCCGCCCGUUCUCAGUGCCUAAUAAGAAGGGGACCAGGUUUGGCCGGUACAGGUGUGAGAAAGGGACCACUGCAGUCCUCACUGAAAAAGUCACUACCCUGGAAAUUGAGGUGCUGGAAGAAACAGUCCAAACAAUGGACACUUCCUGAAUGGUGUUGGUGGAUGUCUCUGGUUAUUGCUCUAGAAGACUGGGGGCAGUGGAGGCUCCCCCUGUAAGACAUUCGGCCGGUGUUUGCUGAAUGAACCCAAUAAAAAAUGAAAACCAAGUUAAGUGGCUGAAGUCUCGGGGCUGUGUGGUGUUUUGGGCUGCUAAGGCCCAUCGACCUGGCCUCCCCAUCCCUCCCUGAAUACUACUCUGCGUUCAGGUGGGUGUAAGAGCAGUUUAAGCCUUCUAAAAACAGACGAGGCCUCAUUUGUUGCAGGAAGUCAGAUUGGGUGGCUCUGAUUGUUCAGUUGAACAUUUAUUACAUGCAGCCCUUGUGCUAACUUACUUUCUCUUUUUUCAGGGUAGUCCCAGGUUUUUGUUUUUGUUUUUUUAGGAUGAGUGCAGCACAGCCUUUUACCCCAGCAGCCAAGUAGGAAAGAAAUAGAGAUGAUCAGUUCUGAGUACCAAGAAAAAGCAGCCACAAGGGAGCAAAAUGAAAAUGAAUGGGCAAGUGUGAAAUGGAUGACUUGUCAUAGCCAAACCACAGGAUGAAAUCCAAACAGUUCUCACUUAAUAGUGGGAACCUCAGACCAAACUGUAAGUGUUUCUAGCACUCAGGGUGCUGUGGGGGGACAUGCCUACGAGGUGAGAACAGUCUCCUGCAGAGAACAACCACAGGGGGCUGAUGGGGUGCAGAGACAGCGGGGGAGGGGCAGAGGUCAGAGGCCCUGUCCUCAGUGAGGGACAGUAGCGCCCUCCGUCUGGCUGCACCACAUCCUUAAGACCCCUGGGCAACCCCUGCCCCCAACCUGGCCAGGCUGGGAGUGUGGGCUGGCCCUGACACCUCUCACCACGCUCAGUGUUAUCCUCUGCUCAUUCUAGAUGAGUGGCCAGGCUUUGGUCUAGGGCUGCCUUGGCCAGGCCCAUCCGAAAAUGAAGUCUCUGAGCAGCUGUGCCCCCUGCUCCAACCCCGGCCUGCCCUCCAGUUCUCCUCUGUGCCUCUGCCUCCUGAUGCCAGUGCUGCAUACGCCAUUCCAUCCAUCCAGCCAGCCAGCCAGCCAGCCAGCCAUCAUCAAUCCAUGUGUCUGUCCAUCCAUCCAUCCACCCACCCAUCUGUAUUCAAUGUUAACUGAGCCUGGAUGCUGUGCUGGGCCCUCCCAGGAGUGGGUCCAUCAGGAGGUGGUGAGUUGCCUGUCGCAGCACGUGUCCAGAAGGAGCCAGUUGAGCAAGGAAAGACUGGACUGAUCAGUGGCUGUAGCCAAAUCACCUGGAAGAAGCUGUUAAAAAUCUGAACCCCCAGCCCAACCCCAGGCCUGUGGAACCAGAACCUCCAGGGCUGGAACUUGGACAGCUGCAUCUCCCACAAGCUCCCAGAGUGUCUGAUACGUGUUAACAACCUGAGAGGGGCUGUGCAAAGCCUCCCCGACCUGCCCUCCUUUCAGAUGCGCAGAAACAUCCCUGGAACAAAUGAAUUCAUGAAGCAUUAACUGAGGGAAGUUCGCUGCCACUGGGUCCUCGUGUUCCCGCCUCUGGGCAGCUUCUCUUGUCCCCUGACCCAGGGGAGGGGCUGCUCCCCCUUGGUCUGUGCUCUGCCUCAUCAGAGGGGUUCUCAGCUUGUGCUAGAGGUAUACAAAGCUGCAGGGGGCGAACACAGCACCUCUUCCUGUUUUGCCAGCUUUCCCCGGGAAUAAGCCUGGAAAACCCGAUUUUUGUACCAACAGGAAGUGCUCAAACAUUAUAAAGGAUAAUGCACAACCUGCGUUGAGUUUUAAAGAUAAAAAUGAGAGACUUCAAAGAAGUUCCAAGCUUGCAGCGGGCCCUGGAGGAUGUGACCCUGAACCCCGGGGGAGCGGUGAUUCUGGGGCAGAGAGGCAGAAGCUGGCACGGGGAGGAGCCUCCACAGACAGUGGCCUGAGGCCUGGCUCCCUCCCUGCCCGGGGGUGGGGUGGGGGGUGCCCCUGUGGGCCCUUCCAGCCGGCAAAGCCGCAGCACAGUCCCACGGAGACGCUCAGACGCAGAGCGAACACAGCCAGGGUCUCAAAUCCCCUUCCAGCAUCUCCCCGUCAGACCUGCAGGCUCCCAGCCCCGCCCCCAGCCUCCCCUCCGGGGAUGGAGCUCUGCAUAUGAAAGAGGAGCCUAACAAACCCUGACCUUCCCCACGUCUUCACCUAGAACUCCCAGAUUUCAAACCCGGCAGAUAUCUGAGGAGAACGUGGGACCUCAAAGCAGAGGCUGAUUAAAGGGCCCCGCUUCCCAAGCUGCGCCACUCCUGUCAAAACAAACUCUGCCAUGUUUUGAAAUGCUCGCGGUGUUUGAAACAUGUUCAUUAGAUAUGAAAAAGGCAAAGAUUUCACACGAAGGGGAGGCUGCAUCUGUGGGCUGCACUUCUUCCCCGAAUGGUGGUUGUGAAAAUGGCUGGGAAACGGGGUGUGGGCGCUGACAUGCAUCCGCUGGGCGGGCCGGGAGGCCUGGGCGCCAUCCUGACGGCAACGGAGCUGCACCCCAGCCAGGUCUGAACCCACUGCAACCACUGGUGAGCAGAGAACCGAACCGCUGUUUCAGCCUCGUCUCCCCAUCAGCGGAACACGGGGUGAACUCAUGGUCCUUGGGGUCCUCUCUGCCCCACUUCGGAGCCCCGGUCUCCCUCUCUGGAAAAUGGGGAUAGUUCAACCUCCUGGCACACAGACAUGCAGGCAGAAGGGCUCUGGGAAGGCUCUGCUGCUACCACAGACCCCGGCGGGUGGAGGGGGGGUGAGGGGAGUGGACUGAGGAAAGGAGGGCUGGGGGUGGCCAAGAGGGCAGCACAAAGGAGCAGGUGAGGACCACAUUCCUCCUCUGUGCUGCACGAGACCCCGGCCUAUGAAACUCCCUCCCCGCUGCCCCCAACAUCAAUCAGGCCUCACAUCCUGAGGGGGCUCCCCUCCCAUCUGGCCCUCUGGCCGCUGCCCUAGCAGCUCUGCCUCACCUGGACGACUGGUGGCUUAGCCCCCGCUGUCCUUCCCAUUCCCACCCGUCCUACACCCCAAGGCAGGGGCCAUGUCCCUGCUCCUAAGGCCGACUGGCUCCUCAUCCCUUGAGAAAGAAAAGCCGGGUCCUCAGCCUGGCAUUCGAGGCCUCUCCAAACUCUCCCCACUCCCCCCAACGCUGGAUCUCUGGGCAGCAACACACACACACACACACGCACGCACACGCACACGCACACCCCUACAGGCUCACCUGUGCCGCCACUUGUUUUCAAGUUCUCCUUAAAUUAAUUACCAGCUGACCCCAUGCCAGGCUACACUUGGCCCUCUGGAGAAGCAGCGAUGUUGAAAAAACAUUGCACUUUUAUCAGCGUUGACUUGAUUCCAGAUUGUUAUAUCUGCCUAUUUUUAGUUCCCACACAGAACAUCUCUAACAGAUGUGAGAGUCAGGUAGCACGACUCUGCAAUUCUACGCAGGACCCUGUGCUUUCCAGGUAUCAGGGGCUCAUCCAAGGUGGCUCAGGGAGCCUCAGACGGAAACCCUGGUGUGGCCAUGCCUCGCCCGCCACGUGGCUCUGGCUGGAGCACCACCCACCUGGCGUCACAAAGGUGCUGCCCCACUGCACCUGGAAUUCCUCCCCUGUUAACCGGCUGUGAUGAUUCCCACCCCCAGGGGGGCUGGAGCACUAAACAAGGUACCACCUGGGACAUGAUUAUUAGAACAGUGCUUUGUUCGUGGUGAAGAUGCUAAAUGGAUUCCCCCCAGGCUGUAGGCUCCAGAGGGCAGGGGCCUUCCGGGUGAGCGGCCCCAACCUUUGGGUGAGUGAAUGAACAAGCUGUGGUUUGCAUCCUAGGCCCCGGUCGAUUCCUCCUUGGCCGUCCCCUUGAGCCCUUCCCUUCCCUCCCUGCCACCAGCUCAUCUUGUUCUAAGGGUUUGCGUCCCUGAAAAUGCCAGGAAUGCGGCAGACAAGCCAGGAGCCACUCACCAGCCACAGGUGAUCUCCCCCCCGCCAGGUGUCAGCGCUUAGAACCUGGGCUCCACCUAGUGAAGCAGGUUUUCUGGGCCAGUUGUUCCCAGGUGUCCUGGGCUGCCAGGACGAAGCAGGAGGUCGCCAGGGACACAUCUGCGUGACGCUCUGAGCCCACACUGAUGGGGUCCCCCGGGGCGCCUGGCCGUGGGCACACUCAUGGGGGCGCUGUUGUGACAGGAGAGGCUCACUCUUCCUUCCCUGUGGCCCAGGACAAGCCCCAGGUCCCACACAGCCCACAGCUAUGAGGUUGGGUGGGCUUCCCCCCAGGGAGCUGUCAGUGUUCCCCACCCAGAGAGCUCACUGGGCCCCAAGCCCACUUCCCGGCUGGUGCCGUGGAGAGCUGCUGACCCCCCAAGGGCUCCAGUCCCUGCCUGCCCAGGGACCACAGGGAUGUGGUAGCACCUCUCUGAGCCUCAGUUCCGUCAUCUGUCAAAUGAAGAUAUAAGCCUUAUGGGGAUAACGUUUUAAGAAGCAACAUGUUUUUCAAACAUCCUUUAAGCCUUGUCUUCUUUGUUAACCCACCUCCUUGGCGAGUUCAGUGACUAUAGAAAACGGAAGUAAAGGGCAGCCCUGGGAUGGGGUGAGGCAGCUCCAGGCCCCCAGUGGACCCCAGGCUCCUCAUGCACAGCCGAGUCACGGAGCCCAACACUCUGCCUGCACACAGUGGGCCCGCAGGAGACGGUUCCGCCUGCCCUCACCCAACACCACCCUGGGACUGUCGGUCUCCCCACCAGUCUGGGGGCCCCCUGAGAGCAGGGAAGGCUGCAUCCUCUCAUGUCCCCAUAACCUCACGUCUCAGGCCCAGCCCAGGGCCAGGGCGUUCGGCUCAGGGAAGGGAGAAGGAGGGAUUUAUGCCCCAUGGCCAGGCCAGGGCUCAGCGGCCUGGGAAAGCCAGCGUGCCCUGACCGCAGGUACCUGACAGGGGUUGACCCCAACCGGACCUGUUCCCCCCAUCCCCCCGAGAGGCAGUGUGGAGCCCUGCACCGGCCUGGGUGGGAGCCUGCCUUACCUCCCACCCCUGAUCCCAGCCCGAGGCUGCCCUGUCUCCUCUGCGGAGCGGGAAGGGCCUUGCUCUCCCAGCCCCACAAUUUGUCUUGCAGCUGCUGCCGUUGCUUGGAGCGAGACACUUGCUUGUAGCUUGUGAGCUGUGUGUAGGCAAAUCUUUCAUUUUUCUUUCAUUAUGCCGGCGUGUACUGUCACUUAAUUUUUAUGUAUGCAAUCCUUCCUGACAAAUAUGAUCUGCUGCCUGGUAAUUCGUCUGACGCUCAUUCUGUGCCGCGCUCUAAUUACGGCUCC